rnacentral:rRNA from 1 species
CAGCCUGAUGCAGCAACGCCGCGUGAGGGACGACGGCCUAAGGGUUGUAAACCUCUUUUAGCAAGGAAGAAGCGAAAGUGACGGUACUUGCAGAAAAAGCGCCGGCUAACUACGUGCCAGCAGCCGCGGUAAUACGUAGGGCGCAAGCGUUAUCCGGAAUUAUUGGGCGUAAAGAGCUCGUAGGCGGUUUGUCGCGUCUGCUGUGAAAACUGGGGGCUCAACCCCCAGCCUGCAGUGGGUACGGGCAGACUAGAGUGCGGUAGGGGAGAUUGGAAUUCCUGGUGUAGCGGUGGAAUGCGCAGAUAUCAGGAGGAACACCGAUGGCGAAGGCAGAUCUCUGGGCCGUAACUGACGCUGAGGAGCGAAAGGGUGGGGAGCAAACAGGCUUAGAUACCCUGGUAGUCCACCCCGUAAACGUUGGGAACUAGUUGUGGGGUCCAUUCCACGGAUUCCGUGACGCAGCUAACGCAUUAAGUUCCCCGCCUGGGGAGUACGGCCGCAAGGCUAAAACUCAAAGGAAUUGACGGGGACCCGCACAAGCGGCGGAGCAUGCGGAUUAAUUCGAUGCAACGCGAAGAACCUUACCAAGGCUUGACAUAUACGAGAACGGGCCAGAAAUGGUCAACUCUUUGGA